CAGCAGCCGCGGUAAUACGGAGGAUCCAAGCGUUAUCCGGAUUUAUUGGGUUUAAAGGGUGCGUAGGCGGUCCUAUAAGUCAGUGGUGAAAGACGGCAGCUUAACUGUCGCAGUGCCUUUGAUACUGUAGGACUUGAAUCUAUUUGAAGUGGGCGGAAUAAGACAAGUAGCGGUGAAAUGCAUAGAUAUGUCUUAGAACUCCGAUUGCGAAGGCAGCUCACUAAGUUAGUAUUGACGCUGAUGCACGAAAGCGUGGGGAUCAAACAGGAUUAGAUACCCUGGUAGUCCACGCCCUAAACGAUGAUAACUCGAUGUUUGCGAUACACAGUAAGCGUCCAAGCGAAAGCGUUAAGUUAUCCACCUGGGGAGUACGGUCGCAAGAUUGAAACUCAAAGGAAUUGACGG
rnacentral:rRNA from 1 species